rnacentral:rRNA from 1 species
UGCAAGUCGAACGGUAAGGCCCUUCGGGGUACACGAGUGGCGAACGGGUGAGUAACACGUGGGUGAUCUGCCCUGCACUUCGGGAUAAGCCCGGGAAACUGGGUCUAAUACCGGAUAGUACUGCGCGGUGCAUGCCGUGUGGUGGAAAGAUUUAUCGGUGCAGGAUGGGCCCGCGGCCUAUCAGCUUGUUGGUGGGGUAAUGGCCUACCAAGGCGACGACGGGUAGCCGGCCUGAGAGGGCGACCGGCCACACUGGGACUGAGACACGGCCCAGACUCCUACGGGAGGCAGCAGUGGGGAAUAUUGCACAAUGGGCGCAAGCCUGAUGCAGCGACGCCGCGUGAGGGAUGACGGCCUUCGGGUUGUAAACCUCUUUCAGCAGGGACGAAGCGCAAGUGACGGUACCUGCAGAAGAAGCACCGGCCAACUACGUGCCAGCAGCCGCGGUAAUACGUAGGGUGCAAGCGUUGUCCGGAAUUACUGGGCGUAAAGAGCUCGUAGGCGGUUUGUCGCGUCGUCUGUGAAAACCAGCAGCUCAACUGUUGGCUUGCAGGCGAUACGGGCAGACUUGAGUAUUUCAGGGGAGACUGGAAUUCCUGGUGUAGCGGUGAAAUGCGCAGAUAUCAGGAGGAACACCGGUGGCGAAGGCGGGUCUCUGGGAAAUAACUGACGCUGAGGAGCGAAAGCGUGGGUAGCGAACAGGAUUAGAUACCCUGGUAGUCCACGCCGUAAACGGUGGGCGCUAGGUG